rnacentral:lncRNA from 1 species
ACCCCAUGUGAACAUGAAGGAAGAGCUGAGAAGCAAUCCCAGAGACAAGGGGAAAGGCACCAAGCAAGACCCUUCUUGUCCUCAGAAGGAGCAGACCCAUACUGUACUUUUUUGUUGGAUUUCCAGCCUCAGAGUGCCACUCCUACCCUGUUCUGUGCCAGUUAGGGAAGAAGAACUUCUGUUGUGUCCAUGAACAGAGAACACCACUGGUCUCUAACUUCUGCCCAGGGGAACCUGCAGGUGUCAGAGACAGUGGAAUGGCCUCGGAUGAUGAAUCAGGGAGGCUGUGUCCUCUGCUCUCUGGCCCUCCACCGUUCAUUCUCCUGUGUAAGUGCCAGUGUGUGUUUCUUUCUCCAGCCUCACGCUCUAAACAAGAUGCCUCUGACAGAGGCCCGGGUAGAUGGAGUCUCCCAAGUCCAUUGCAACUUCAUUGUUCCUGACUUAUGAAGAGAGCUGGAAGGAGUGACAGAAAGGCCAUGAGGAGACCUGGUUUCUUGAACCACAUGAAUCAGUGCCCACCAGUGUCCACCAGUGUCCUGCAGAGACCCUGUUGCUGGCCCUGGCCUGGGCCCUGUGCCGGCUGACAUCUACUUUAAGUCGAAGUGUUUGCUCAUCAAGACGUCUUUGCCGACAUGACAUGCACACUUGCCUGAAGACAUCAUGCACACAUGCGUAAGCACUCACGUGGACCCGAGGGUUUGCAGCCUCACAGGAACAGUGCUCAUGGAGGAAGUCCUGUGUGACUCAUUCUGUUUGUGUGCUUGGCUGAUGUUUCCAGUUUCCAUGUAAUUUGCUCCUUUUGUAUCAAGACAGAAGUAACGGUG